rnacentral:misc_RNA from 1 species
GUACAUUAGUGCUUGCGCACGACAAUAAAUUUCAUUACAUUCGAGUUUGUGUAAAAUCCUCUGCCGGCCGAAGCUAGCAAGAGGCCAAAGGUUCACAAGGGUAUUGGAAUGAAAGUCACCGACGUGCACUUGCAGAGCCAGCACAGAGGGCAACAGUUUAAUCACUAAUGAUCCUUCCGCAGGUUCACCUACGGAAA